UUCCAAGUCUAAGAUCAUCCAUCCAUCUUCAGGGGUUGGUCUGGAUGGCCUCUGAGGUCUCUUCCAACCCUAGGAACAUACAUCUAUCCAUCGAUCCAUCUAAAAGGGUUGGUCUGGAUGGCCUUUGGGGUCUCUUCCAAGUCUAGGAUCAUCUAUCUACCUAACAAUAAAUCCAUCCAUCCAUUGUAAAGGGUCGGUCUAGAUGGCCUUUGGGGUCUCUUCCAACUCUAGGAUCAUCUAUCCAUUCAUCGAUUCAUCUAAAAGGAUUGGUCUGGAUGGCCUUUGAGGGAUCUUCCAACUCUUAAGAUCCAUCCAUCCAUCCAUCCAUCUAAAAGGGUUGGUCUGGAUGGCCUUUGGGGUCUCUUCCAACUCUAGGAACAUCCAUUCAUCCACCUAUCCACUGAUCAAUCAAUCAAUCCAUCCAUCGAUCCAUCUAAAAGGGUUGGUCUGGAUGGCCUUUGGGGUCUCUUCCAACUCUAGGAACAUCUAUCCACCCACUCACCCACCCAACCAAUCAUAAAAGGUGGGUCUGGAUGGCCUUUAGAGUCUCUUCCAACUCUAGGAAUAUCUAUCCAUCCAUCCAUCAUAAAGGUUGGUCUAGAUGGCCUUUGGGGUCUCUUCCAACUCUUGAAACAUCUACCUACCUAUCCAUCCAUCCAUCCAUCCAUAUUAUAGGGUUGGUCUGGAUGGCCUUUGAGAUCUCUUCCAACUUGAGGAUCAUCUACAUACCUACCUACCUAUCUAUGCAUCCAUCCAUCCAUCAUAAAGGGUUGGUCUGGAUGGCCUUUGGGAUCUCUUCCAACUCUUGGAACAUCUCCCUACCUACCAAUGCUCUAAGAUGCUCCAACAGAGCCUCCACCCCCAGUGGCAGUCUACCUUUGAAUGCUCCACACUGCAACGGAGGAGAAAAGGAGGGGACUUCUUGGAUUUGGACGGCUUGGUGGUCAUUUGGGGCCCGGGGGUGGAUCCGGGCCGGGCUCCAGCCGCCGUCUAGUCUGGCCUCUCCGCCUCCGGCCUGGGCCACUCAAGUGCAAAAGCAGAGGCAGAAGGAAGGCCGAGGGUGCCAGGACAACAUGCCUGGAAUAGGCCACCCUGCCUACUUUUUUUCCUGGCAGCAAAGGCCUUGGAUUUCGGGAGGUAGGAGUCCAAAGAAAAGGCCGAGUUGGAGGCAAGGGGCCCCCAAAGGCCAUCCAAUCCCGCCUCCUCCUGCCCUCCUUGCUCCACACAGAACACGUCCCAGCGGUCCAGGUUUUCCACCCUUCGGACUUUUUUCCAAAUUCCGAAAAACUCUAAUUAAUAAACCCUUGUCCGCUCCUGUGUCCCGAGCAAAUAAACAUCGCCCGCUGCUCCUUCCUUUCCAUCGCUCACUCUCUCUCUCCCACAAAUCCCUUUUUUCCUCCUCUGAUGAAAGGAGGCCUCACAAAGCUUCACAGAGCCCACUUUCUCCCUUCUCCAGCUCUAAGGCCUGCUUUCUCCCUUCUCCAUUUUUGAGAAGGCCUCCUUUCUCUCUUCUCCAGCUCUGA
rnacentral:lncRNA from 1 species